rnacentral:lncRNA from 1 species
GAUGCCUCGGGCAGCUUUUCAGGUGGCCCACAUCCUUCCAUAGUAACCGUGUUGUGGAUCACAGGCUCACUCACCUUUCUGCUACCUUCCCUGAGCCCUUCUGCACUCAUGCCUGGGAAGAAGAAGAAUUGGAAGUCCCAGCAGAAGCUAGAAUGAUGCAUGCUCAGGUCUCUACCAACCAGAUAUGAAGCUAACAACAUAACAUAGUCAGGCCUUGGUGAUUGAAGGAUUCAGCAAGAUGCCCUGAAGCACCCAGCCAAGAGGCUAGGUCCACUCUCAUAUGUAGAACCUGAUCUUGCAGGUGCUAAACCAUAUCUCCCUGUUCCCCAGACCUUUCAGGAGGUCAAGCCUUCAUCUCAAAAGGAAAGGAUGCCAGCUUUACACUUUGCAGGGUGGGAAAUGAGUGGCUUAGCUUUUCCUCUAGGGUAAAGAGGCCCUGGGACUUGGUGAUCAUCUUGAAUCUGGCAGCCUGCCUUCCCUGUUCCCUUAACCACACACACCACCCCGUCAGCACCUGGAAAGGAGCAUCUGCCCACGCCCACUCAGUCACAAAUUCUAGACUGUCUCACUUUCCGCACAUCUGGCUCCGUUCUUGGGCAUAUUUGACUCCUAUCCUCUCAGUGUUGUCUUCCUUUUCCCACCCGUUUCUAGAUCUGCGGAACUUUAUUCACGUUUGUUUAUUCAUUUAUUAUCUAUUCCUGCCACUAAUAUUGGGUGCCACCAUGUGCAGGCAUUGUGCUGAUGCUGGGGAUAUAUGUGAUGGAGAGCAAGAUAAAGGAGAUUCCUGUGUGCUUGGGACUGAAAGUUUAGCAUUGAAGAAGACAGUCGAGAAAUAAUCCCCUAAGCACUUACAUCCUUAUCAUGUGCUCUAAAAUAAAAACUAACAAGAUCAAAGGUUUGGAUUUGCAACAGCUGUAAACUGUCCAGUGGGACAGAGGGAAAUAGAAUACCUUUUCACAAAGAGCUUCACGACCUGAGGCAUCAAGAGGAAACUGGCCUCCGAGACUGUUGUACACAGUUGCUGAGACCUUUGGCUUCCAAGGAUCAUCUGGCCAACACCCACCUAACCUUGAUCAGUGGGCACCAGGGCAACUGGUCUGGAAGAGGUUUGGCUCUGGCUCAGUCCAUCCUGCCUGCCAGAAAGCUGGCCCUGGAAGCUGAUUCUCACUAUGGGGACAGAGAAGCCCAAACACGUGGCAGUGUUUGAAACAGAAGAAGGGGCUACUAAUGGAGACUUUAAAAGAUCCUAAGCGUUUAUUUGUUUGAAUUAAAUAUGGACCAAGGAGAUGGGGACAAGGCCUUGCCAGCCUACUUAAUUAUGCACGCUGGUCUUCCAUGUGGCAGGCUGGCUCAGAGAAAGGGAACAGCUUAGACACAUGUAGAGACAUUCUGGGGUACCAAAUCAUCAGAGUGAGACUUUCUGAAUCCUUACCCAUUUUCAUCUUAUUUCCCCAAUCAUCAGAUGUGUGGAUGCUGAAUAAAGGCAAGGCUCUAGUGCUGGGGAG